CAGCGUUUUUGAAAAUUAUUUAAGGGAUUAAAAAAUAACGUAGUUGUCUUCUCCCUGAAUAAUAUUCCCUAGUUUUGGUAGACCACUUUCUUGGCUGACCGUACCUAUAGGUAAGAGGUAUGCUAUCGGAGUAACUAGCUAUUUUAUGGAACUAUUUUAAGGCGUAUCCACAUUAGUCAGUUAAAAUCUGAUUAAAAUGCCCGAUCGAAUCAGGACGUGUAGACGCAAACGCCAAUUUGGCUCGCCGAAUUCAACCGCCGAUAAUGACCGAUAAAAUGAGGUGCGGACGCAAGAAUGCCAAUUUGUGACGCCAGUAUUUUCGUUCUGGGGCAUUUUUUUAAUUUAGAGGGCUCUAAUAUCACCAUAAAUCUAAAAUUGGUGAUUAAAUUGGAAAUUCCGCCAAUCUCAUUUCUGAUCAAAUCGGUCGAUUUGAUCACCUCUGUCCGUACACACCUUUAUUUCAAACCGUUUCUAAAUAGCUGCCAUGUGACAGGCAUAGCCUCGUGUCGCCGCAGGUUUUGUCAUUUACCUAUACCGGGUGUGGCCUGUAAUAUGAGCAAAAAAAUUAACUGUAGGCUGUACUCCUCAUACUGAUCAACAUUUGCUCAGCGACAUUUGAAAAUAACUUGUAGUUUGAUUUUUAAUACACUUUAAAGGUUAUUCAAAGACGCGAAUUUUUUUAUGUUUAAGGCUUGACAAGCAACGUCAAUCACAAUGAUAUGACGUGGCGAUGGCGUCCAUUGAAGAUAAUAUUUAUUUUGUAUGAAAAAUAGGGAGUCUAAAUGCUUCAUAAUUUUUAAAAGUUGUUGAACAAAAGUGUCACCGUUUGAGGAGUACAAUCUAUGUUUUAAUUAUUUGCUCGUGUUACAGGCCACACCCGGUAUACAAUUGUUAUUCUUGAUAUUUGGUUGCAACGAAAGGCGCUAAUACGUUAACUACGAUACAAUACUCUUUAGAUACCCCCUAAGCCUGUAGUCAUUAAAUACACCAGUGUGUUGCCAGGAUAACUGCUGUAAACUAAGUUGGAUUUUACUUUUUAUUAAAUGUUAACAGAUAAGUUAAAGACUGUUAAUCUCUAUACAAAUUCGCGGUUUUUAGAAAAAAAGAGUAAUAACAAAAUUUCUGUUUCACAUUCCGUCAACCGGGGUGAAUAGGGAACAGCACUUAAAAUGUGACAAUUUCUUAAUAUAAAACCCACACAAAUUGUAUCAUUCAAUUGAGAACAACAGAUUUUGUAUGAUAGAACUUGUGUGGGUUUUUUUAGGGAAUUGUCAGGUAAAUCUCAUUUUAUAUUUUAUCCCUAUUCACCCCAGCCAUCCCUUUUCACCCCUGGUUGACGGUAUUUAAUAUAUUAAAACGGAUCAUUCAUAUAUUUUAAGUCGGAGUCUAUAUAUUUCGCUCCAUAACGAGGAGCUUGAACGGGAGCACGCGUUGGCGGACAUCUCGGGCAAUAUUCGACUUAAAAUACGUGAGUGACCCGUUUUAAUAUUUUUAAUAAAGUUUAAAAUAAAUUGGCUUUUGCUGAGUGUAUGAAACUGUAACUAUGUAAUGUAGUUUUUAUUACACCAUAUCUUUGUAUGGAGAUUACCACUUGAAUCGUUACUGGUCUCGGAUAAGUAAGUGUAAAGUGGUGUAAGUUUAUAUAUUUAUUUGUAUAAUACUCUGAAAGACUUUACUAAGAUGCCAUACAGACGGCCGCCGCCGGUGAACAUACGUAUUUCAGGACUAAGUUAUAUAUUUCCUUCGCUAAUAAAACAUCUGUCACAUAAUAACAACACUUUCGUGAGGCACAGACAUAUUAAAUAUAUUGAAGCGGGUCACUCACGUACUUUAAGUCGAAAAUCGCUCGACAUGUUUCACUCCGCUCGAUGCUCUUGCUCUUCAAACGGAGUGAAACAUGUCGAGCGAUUUUCGACUUAAAGUACGUGAGUGACCCGUUUCAAUAUGUUUAAUAUGUCACAUAUUGCACAAAAAAUACUUUUUCGAUGACGAAACCCUUUUGGAAAGAGAGAUAUUUGUCGGAGCCCCAAUUUAUAAAAAAAAAUGGUAACAUAUAGAAAAGCUGGGUUUUAUGUUUUUUCUUAUUAUUACAAGUAUUUUCGCGGAACCUCACAAAGGCUUUGUGGAGCCCUAGGGCUCCGCGAAGUACACUUUGAGAAGUCUGACAUAACGGAUAGGUAUCUUUAAAUAACCUCAAAACAUGAACGGAGGAAAUUCGGCGCAAAAAAUGAUGUGAACCCUUAACCUACAGUAAUAGAGUGUAGCCAAGGCAAGAUAUGACUUAGUCCCGAACCAAACUUAGUGGUGCUCGCAUCACUGUAGCGCGUCAAUAAUAUGUGUACACCACUGCACCUGCAGUCGCCGGCAGAUAUAUCGGAGCGGCCAAGGUGCUCUAAAACAUCUGUACGUGCUGUUUAACGUGUUGAGAGAGUGUUAAUAAACCGGGUCACUCCCGUUUACUAAGUCGAUGGUUGCUCUACAUGUUUAACAUGCUCAAGGCUCGGAACCGGUUUUUACUUCAUACUAAAAAUACCGGUAUUAUUACGUUCUUUUGUUUAUUAUUUCAUUUUUAAUGGGACAAUCUAAUAAUACGAAGUUGUUACCUAAACACAUGAUUCAAUCCUACGUAUAAAAUAAAAUAAUUACAAAUAUUGGGCUAUUUCGGGUAUUUCAUAAAAACCGGUUUCGAGCCGAGCCCUGAACAUGCUCCACAACGAGAUGAGAGCGUCGUAGGCCUGAGUGGCUCAGAUACAGUGUGUGUCUGACCAUGGGGCUUUAAAUUCACGGAUCGAUUCUACUCGCUAAACUGAGCUACUUUUACUAUGGCGCCAACCCUAAAAUCGGGGAAAAUUUUUUGGCUUUUCCACAGAAAACGUCGACAUCUGAUCAGCCAAAAUGUAUGAAAAAGUAAAAAGAAAUUUGGGAUUUCGAGGUUGGUCCCAUGGUAAAAGUAGCUCAGUUUAGCGAGUAAAAUCAAGCUCUGGAUUUAAAGCCCCAUAUUCAGACACACCAUGUAUAGCAGGGUAUCCGAUGCCGACUGUACAUUUGGAGGAAUGUAUUCAUACGUGCGACCUUGACUGUACCGUUCCGUUGUUUAAGCGGGUCACACAUCACGUCUCUCCUGUGGACAUAUGCAAAGUUAGGCCAGGGAUAUAGUUGGAAUUUCCUGAGGUGAUUUUAAGGCUUAAACCCUAGUUGAACAAAUCGUCGGGUGACAAGCAAAAAAUAAUAAAUGAUUACUUACUAAAAGUCACUAAGUACUAUCAAAAAAUUAAAGUAACAAUGCACUUUAUUACACUUGUAACACAGUUUAUUGUCCAAUAAUUUCAAUGAUGUUAGUUAGUGACUUUUGCUUGUCACCGGACGAAAUAUGGUAUUGUUUUUUUUAUUCAUCAGUUUGCUACUGGUUUUUUGUUAACUUCAAAAAAAUACCUAACUUACUGCCCAGGGGCGGCCGAUCUUCCUAAAUUACCCAAGUCUCCCGAUGAGCUGUUACAUGAAUUUGAACCAUAUAGGUAAUAAGGUAAUCUUCCUCGCGUUAUCCCGGCAUUUUGCCACGGCCUUGGGGGCCGGCUCAUGGGAGCCUUGGGGGAUUGGAAGCUUGACAAUUAAUCCCAAGAAUUGACGUAGGCGACUGCCAUCUGACCUUCCAACCCAGAAGGUAAACUAGGCUUUAUUAGAAUUAGUCCGGUUUCCUCACGAUGUUUUUCCUUCACCGAAAAGCAACUGAUAAAUAUCAAAUGAUGUUUCGUUCAUAAGUUCCGAGAAAGUAAUUGGUACGAGCCGAGGUUUGAACCUGCGACCUCCGGAUUGAAAGUCGCACGGUCUUACCGCUAGGCCACGAGCGCCUUAAUUAGGAUGGUAAAUAUGCUUUUAAAAAGAGCUUGUUUCCGUCUUCCCACGGCGUAACAGUAGCAACCCGCUGCUGAAAUGCCUAAAAUAAACAAUACAAUAACAUAGUAACUUGAAAAUCCCAACUGUACACCCGGGAUGCUCUUCAAAAGGGACUACUUAUUUGUUUACAUUUUGUGAGUGCACGGAACUGAACACCACUCUAACUCGGUAUUUUGAAUAGGAGUAAUGACACUUGUUGAAUUUAAUAACAAAAUCUAGUAAAAUAGACAGCUAAUGAGCAAUUCAUCACAAUAAUAUGGAUAGGUAUAAAAUAUGGAAAUAAUACAAAAAUACAGGACGUGAAAGUUUAAAAUUUUUAGUUUUUUUUUAACUUCUAAAAAGGAAAUUCGUCAUCCUAUUGAGUGAUGUAGUGACAUCGGCAGUCAGUUGUACGGUCACCGACUUCCAUGGUUGAUCCGUCUAUUUCAGGCUCAUUUGGUUGUCAAUACGAACGGUAUGAAAUGUCCAAUGUAAGGUGAACCCCACAGUGGCUGUACGGACCACCUACAGGCGCCGCGUAUCCAAUAACACCUAAUGCUAAGUAAGUUAGGCUUAACUUGUUAAUAAAAUUAAAUUUCAUUAUUA